CGCUGCGCUACGCUGCUAUUUACCCGUACCAGUUACGUAAAAAACAGAACAAUGAUGGAUAAGUUAAAAAAAAAAACGCUAUUUGUUGUAUCAAAGGAUGUAAUACAGUGAAACGAAAUCGAUUAGAUAAUAUUAGUUUUUAUCAGCCUAAAAGAGAAAAGUCAACGACGAACAAAUGGUGUAUAGCCUUAAAGGUUAAGAAACUGCCUGAUUAUCCACUUGUAUGCCACGAGCACUUCUUGUCUGAAGAUUUUAAACCUGGUGCUGGACGUAAACGAGUUUUAAAGGAGGGCACAGUCCCAACUCAAAAUCUCCCUAUUUCUUUAUUAACUGAAAGUACAAAAGAUCCAGAACUAUCAUAGAAAAGAAAAUGUAGAUUGCAAGAAAGAGAACUUAAAAAGAAAUUAAACAAUUACCAGUUAUUCUGAAACUGAUUCAGUGACUAAUCCUUGUAUAAAUGAACACAAAAUGACAGUUGAUUAUGCAAUUGAUGCAAAUGAUGCAAUUAAUGACGUGGAUUCCUAUGGUGAUGACAGUUCAGUCAACAACAUACAACAUUAUGUGAGGGUGCUUUAAAUAAAGAUCAAAGUGUUCAAGUAGAUAUUAAAAAAUAUGACAAAAAUAUUCAAACAGAAUAUCAAUCAUCAGUUAUUUCACACUUUUUCAACUCAGACAAAAAACUUUAUCUUUUAAGUGGAAUUCAAUCAAAUACUGUUUUGGAUACACUUGAAGAGUGUAUCAGUGAUUUGAGACAAUUUAACAAGAAAAGGUCAAGUAAAGUUCUAUCGUUAAGAGAAUGUAUUUUGUUAACAUUCGUCAAGUUAAAGCUGAAUCUUAGUUAUAGAGUAAUUGCAGUUUGGUUUAACAUAUCACCUGAAAUGUUUAAAAAAUGUUUUAUAAGUACUCUGAAAGAACUUGCUUUGGUUUUGGAUAGUGUUUUACGAUGGCCAAGUAGACAAGAGAUUUUAGAUAACUUGCCUAAAUGUUUCAGAAAAUACAAUUCAACAAGAAUAGUUUUGGACUGUUUUGAGAUCCCGGUCAAACAGUCAAAAUAUUUGAAGUGUAGGAUUCCAACAUAUUCAAAUUAUAAAUCAAGAAAUACGCUGAAAUUCAUGCUUGGUGUGACUCCAUCAGGAUUGAUAUCAUACAUUAGCAAAGCAUAUGGUGGUAGAGUUUCAGAUAAAGCAAUAUUUAAAAAAUCUUGUUUACUGGAUAGAAUGGUGAGAAGUGUAGAUGCUAUAAUGGUGGACAGAGGGUUCUUAAUUGACGCAGAAUGUGCUGAAGUUGGAAUAAAAUUGAUUCGACCAUCCUUUUUAAAAAAAAAAGUACAAAUGAGUCAUAAAGAAGUCAGUUCGGGAGCAGACAUCGCAGCUGCAAAUAUGUAGAAAGAAGAAUCAAAAGAAUACGUGAAUUCUCAGUCCUACAAGGGCCAGUGCCAAUAGAAAUAGUGCCUUACAUAAAUAUAAUAAUGAAAGUAAUUUGUGCAUUUUCCAAUUUGGGUUCACCAAUAU